rnacentral:tRNA from 1 species
GGCGCGUAGUGUAAAGGUAACACAGCGGUCUCUAAAACCGCAGCGGUCUGCCCGCGGUAAUUCCGGUUCGAACCCGGACGCGCCCGCCA